UUCACUUGAGACUUCAUACUUUCUAGUCAUCACGGAAGAAAACUAUUUUCAUUUGUGAUGUAAAUGGGCUUCAUGCAGUUUUUGCAUAAUGAGUCUAGCGCUUAAAAAAAACUUUUUUGCGUAAUGAGUUUUCCCAUAGGAUGUCCUGAGCAAGUUCUUGCCUUGAUGGUAAUAUUAUCUUUCUGUGUUGCUCAAAUCGCUGGUAAUUGACAGCUUUCUAGCUUCGGUUACCAUAUUCUAAUAAAGCACUACAUAAUGUGCAAUUCUGAGGAAGUACUUGUUUAUGGAGUACUUGGUUCGUCAAACACUGUAAAGUAGUGUGAGAGUGCUUCUAAUUCUUUUGCAAUAUGUAACCUGCUUUCCCGCUUCGACUCAGCUUAGUUUGCACCUCUGGUUGUACGCGCAGAAUCAUAAAAGAUAUGUGGAAAAAUACUGUACUAGCUGAACCCGUCUUGGCUCAUGGGUUCUUCUAGUCUUCUUGUUAACUAGCGGGAACAUUACUUUCUCUUCGCAGACAGCUUGUGCUUUCGAGUCUUUGUAGGUGUUGUAUGAGAAAAGGAUGGACGUUGUUGGGAGAUGAACGGAGGUCUACAUUUGGGGCAACUCAUAAGAAAUAUGUUAGGAAGAAGAAGUGAAUUGAAGUGUGAAAGCAGCUUUUGACUGCCCAAGAAGCUUUUUUUUUUUUUUUCAUUUUUUUUCUUUUUUGUCCGAGCAACUUUUGGAACCAGAAUUUGAGUUCAUGUGGGCUAACCCGAGGUUUGCUAUCUAGGAAAUACCCGAUAUACCCGAGGUUAGUUCAUAUAAGAUGUGUAUCUGAGGCUUCCAAGCAUUUUCAAUAUGGCAUUUAAUGACACCUAGUGCCGAUAGUUCUAGUGUUAAA